GAGAGUUCAAGAGUACGUGAAACUGUGUGGUGGUAAACGGAGGGGUUCUCGAAGUCUCUGUGGGGAACUCAGCCUCGGUGUCGGGCGGUCAGGGUGUGUCCGAUCAGCAAUGACGGCGCGCUUUGUCCGGCUUGGCUCCCGGGUGCAUUUUCUCCGCAGUUUACGGCAGGAACCGUUUGGCUCGGAUCGAAGGCUCUGGUGGAAGUUGUCGGUUCUGCUGGCAGCCCCGGGUGUCCUGGCUCCGCGCCCGACGGGUAACUGAGAGGACUCGUAUAGCAAGCAGCGCUCUGUGCGCGGUUCUCAUCUCUCUGCCGAGAAGGUGGGCGGNNCCUCCGACA
rnacentral:rRNA from 1 species